AUUACCCUUUGGGGCUGCUUACAAGUAUCACCAUGACAACAGUGGAAGGGACUACUGGCACAUCAGAGAUGGAGCAGUCAGCAUCUGCUUCUGUGCACAAAGUAAAAGUUGUGGCCCCAUGCAACACUGGUUCUGGAGCAUCAUCAUCCAAGCUUGGUGGAGGAACAGCAGGAUUGUCAGAACUCUGUCGCUGGAAGACAGCAAUGACAACAGUGAGUCUACAUCAUGAUAAUGAAAGACCUUUAGCAGAGGCAUGAAGCCAAUAUGAUGUAGGGCAAAAUAACUGAUCAAGAAAAUUUUGAUCAGUCUGAGUCCCAGAGCAUCUGCCGCAUUUACCACUCUUCUGGGAAAGAAGCCCUUAUAACUCCGUGCUACUGUUUUGGCUUGGCAAAACAUGUUCAUGCGGCAUGUCUUUUGACAUGGUUUAAAAAAGAAGUGAAGAUUCUUUAUGAAUUGUGCUGGCAUAAAAUUGAUAUGAAAAAAAAGGGGAAACCUUUUGCUGAGGCCAGCUGGGAAAAGACCAGAAGAUAAUAAAAGCCAACCCCAAUAAUCUGGUUCACUGUAUUUGUUGAACUUUUCCUUAAUUUGUUCUCCAUCUCUGUGAGUGCUGCUGAACUUUGCACUUCAGCAGCUCCUGCGAUAAUUUUCUAGGUGGUGAAUGGAUUUGGAAUCAUUCUUGAUGCUGCAAUUCUUUACUGCUGGUGGACAAAAUGUCUGUUUAUUGGCAGAAGUGGUUCACACUUAACCACCAGUGGCUUAUUGUAGUCGGCAUUAUGGGUAGUCUGCUCUGCAGUGAUGCAACCAGGGUCAGAAAGAAGCAGUGGAAGAACUAUACAAAUUCCCCAUAUAGUUUGAAUUGUGGUCCUAUUCACCGACAAGUUGUUUUGCGAACAACCACUUUGCUAACUCCUCAAGUCUUCUGACUUUGGUCAAUUAGAAGUUGAUCAGGUUCAGUGGAUAGAAUCACUUAAUAACCUUUUGUAGUAUAUCAGCUCAAUGACUUAUGAGACCUUAACAAAAUUCCCUGAGAUGUUGGGAAGAAGACCCAAGAUGUUGGCAAACUGGUCAUUAGGAAACCAAAUUGUAGGUGAAACCUUCAGUUACACAUAGUUCCAGAAAUUAUUGAGGUCAAAGUGAAACUGCAGCUAUUUGAUAGCAAUGAAUAUACAAGCUCUCUUAUUCAAAUUAAUAUAUUGUAUCAUAGGUAUUAAGUUUGAAAGUCAUGAAAAUUGUAAGUGAGCCACAGAUGCACAUGUAUAUGUACCUGAGGUAUUGAAUGUUUGUUAACUUGUAAAAAAAAACUUGAUUAAAAAUAGGGUGAAGCAAUUUCCAACUCUGUGUUAAUCCUUUAACUGCCAUGAUGAGUGACCAAGACAGAAUUUCUCCUUACCUUAUCAGUAUAUCAAGCAGAUGAGAAUAAAGAAAACUAUUGAUUAGGAGAUUAUUAGUUUCUCCAAUUCCAAAUUCUCUGUACUUAACGUGUGCAAUCAUGAAACUUUUGACCAAAAUUUUGAAUAUUCAGGCAGUUUUUCCAGGAAUUGUUGCAUAGAUACAGGGUGUGGAAUACUAGUCAGAAAAAUCUCAACUGUUAGAAAGUCUUGAACAACUGGAAAUAAAUUAUCAUAUAUUUGAUCUGCAGAUUAAUGAAUGGCAAUGAGAGUGAUCAGCACAGUUUCAACAACAAAGCAGCAUCUUCAAGAGUCUUAUUAUUUUGUUAUGCCUUACAUUUUAUCAUCAUGGUAACAGGCAAGCCCUAAUUAUGUACAAAAACACUCUAGUAUUUACAACAACUGAAUGCAGGAUAUUUAAUAUGAUAUCUAUAUUUUUUCUAUUAUAUAAAUACCAUGGCAUGUCAAUUGCUAUCACUUUGCUCAUGUUAUGGGGAAAUCCCACUAAACAGUAUUUAUGGACAGUCUCAGAAAAUCCUCAAUACAUGUUCUCACAACUCCAGGAUUUUCCUUAUUGAGAUAAUUCAUCACUGCCGAGUUAAUUUCAACUAAUUAAAUUUAGCUGUAUCAAAAUUAUUACACUGUUAAGUUUGCUCUUCACUUCAUGCUUCUAUGUGACACUAUGUAUAGGAUGAGCUCUAAAAACCAACACUCAAUUACCAUUUUCCAAAAUGGAACUCCCAUUUCCUUAAAUCAACUCCCAUUUUCACAAAAACGAUCUCCAAUUUAGUGUAAAAGUGGAUGUCCCUUUAAAACUUCCCUAGUAAGCAGCACUUCAUAGCAUAAAACUAUGGCCACAGUGGUGUGAAAUGAGGAGUGCAAUCUGGCUUAACUCUCUACACCAUGACAUCAGUGUACAUAUUCUCCAUACUGUUCUUGAUACAUUUCCUAAGGUGCUGACAAGGAGAAUUUCUUUAACAAUCAAGAGCUUUAGUUGGUGAUCAUUUCCUUUACUCUCUCAAUCUUAAUAUGUAUGACUCGGGGGUGAUAUUGUAAGGAGAAAUUAGAUACUAGUCACUCUUGGAGGUUAACUAAUCUGUAUAACCAGCUUGUUUCAAAACAGUUUACAUGUUCUUAACACAAGACUUUGUCAGUAAUAGCUUUAUUUCUCAAAUCAGGUGAAAAACCAGUUAUAGUCCAGCUCAAAUAAUUACAGUCAGGCACAAAAAAAGGCCAUUGUCCAACUCAAC
rnacentral:lncRNA from 1 species